AGCGAACGCUGGCGGCAGGCUUAACACAUGCAAGUCGAGCGGACCUUUCGGGGUCAGCGGCGGACGGGUGAGUAACGCGUGGGAACGUGCCUUCCGGUUCGGAAUAACCCUGGGAAACUAGGGCUAAUACCGGAUACGCCCCUAUGGGGAAAGGUUUACUGCCGGAAGAUCGGCCCGCGUCUGAUUAGCUAGUUGGUGGGGUAACGGCCUACCAAGGCGACGAUCAGUAGCUGGUCUGAGAGGAUGAUCAGCCACACUGGGACUGAGACACGGCCCAGACUCCUACGGGAGGCAGCAGUGGGGAAUAUUGGACAAUGGGCGCAAGCCUGAUCCAGCCAUGCCGCGUGAGUGAUGAAGGCCUUAGGGUUGUAAAGCUCUUUUAUCCGGGACGAUAAUGACGGUACCGGAGGAAUAAGCCCCGGCUAACUUCGUG
rnacentral:rRNA from 1 species